rnacentral:rRNA from 1 species
GACGAACGCUGGAGGCGUGCUUAACACAUGCAAGUCGAACGAUGAAAUGGAGCUUGCUCCAUGGAUUAGUGGCGAACGGGUGAGUAACACGUGAAUAACCUGCCCUUAAUUUUGGAAUAACCCAGGGAAACCUGGGCUAAUACCGGAUAAGUAAACCUGUGGCAUCACAUGGUUUUGGAAAGUUUUUCGAUUAAGGAUGGAUUCGCGGCCUAUCAGCUUGUUGGUGAGGUAAUGGGUCACCAAGGCGACGACGGGUAGCCGGCCUGAGAGGGGGAACGGCCACACUGGGACUGAGACACGGCCCAGACUCCUACGGGAGGCAGCAGUGGGGAAUAUUGCGCAAUGGACGAAAGUCUGACGCAGCGACGCCUCGUGAGGGACGAAGGUCUUCGGAUUGUAAACCUCUUUCAGCAGGGACGAAGCGAAAGUGACGGUACCUGCAGAAGAAGCACCGGCUAACUAUGUGCCAGCAGCCGCCGUAA